rnacentral:rRNA from 1 species
UACGUAGGUCCCGAGCGUUAUCCGGAUUUAUUGGGUUUAAAGGGUGCGUAGGCGGACUGUCAAGUCAGCGGUAAAAUUGAGAGGCUCAACCUCUUCCCGCCGUUGAAACUGGUGGUCUUGAGUGGAUGAGAAGUACGCGGAAUGCGUGGUGUAGCGGUGAAGUGCAUAGAUAUCACGCAGAACUCCGAUUGCGAAGGCAGCGUACCGGCAUCCAACUGACGCUGAGGCACGAAAGCGUGGGGAUCAAACAGG